AUUGAACGCUGGCGGCAGGCCUAACACAUGCAAGUCGAACGAGUGGCGGACGGGUGAGUAAUGUCUGGGAAACUGCCUGAUGGAGGGGGAUAACUACUGGAAACGGUCGCUACUACCGCAUACCAUCGGAUUUGCCAAGAUGGGAUUCGCCAGUAGGGGGGGUAAAGGCUCACCUAGGCGACGAUCCCUAGCUGGUCUGAGAGGAUGACCAGCCAAACGGGAACGGCGACACGGUACAGACUCCAUCGGGAGGCAGCAGUGGGGAAUAGUGCACAAUGGGCGCAAGCCUGAUGCAGCCAUGCCGCGUGUAUGAAGAAGGCCGUCGGGUUGUAAAGUACUUUCAGCGGGGAGGCGUUACCCGCAGAAGAAGCACCGGCUAACUCCGUGCCAGCCGCCGCGGGAAUAC
rnacentral:rRNA from 1 species